GACGAACGCGGGCGGCGUGCCUAAUACAUGCAAGUAGAACGCUGAGGACUGGUGCUUGCACCGGUCCAAGGAGUUGCGAACGGGUGAGUAACGCGUAGGUAACCUACCUCAUAGCGGGGGAUAACUAUUGGAAACGAUAGCUAAUACCGCAUAAAAGUGUUUAACCCAUGUUAAACAUUUAAAAGGUGCAACUGCAUCACUAUGAGAUGGACCUGCGUUGUAUUAGCUAGUUGGUGAGGUAACGGCUCACCAAGGCGACGAUACAUAGCCGACCUGAGAGGGUGAUCGGCCACACUGGGACUGAGACACGGCCCAGACUCCUACGGGAGGCAGCAGUAGGGAAUCUUCGGCAAUGGACGGAAGUCUGACCGAGCAACGCCGCGUGAGUGAAGAAGGUUUUCGGAUCGUAAAGCUCUGUUGUUAGAGAAGAAUGAUGGUGGGAGUGGAAAAUCCACCAUGUGACGGUAACUAACCAGAAAGGGACGGCUAACUACGUGCCAGCAGCCGCGGUAAUACGUAGGUCCCGAGCGUUGUCCGGAUUUAUUGGGCGUAAAGCGAGCGCAGGCGGUUCUUUAAGUCUGAAGUUAAAGGCAGUGGCUCAACCAUUGUACGCUUUGGAAACUGGAGAACUUGAGUGCAGAAGGGGAGAGUGGAAUUCCAUGUGUAGCGGUGAAAUGCGUAGAUAUAUGGAGGAACACCGGUGGCGAAAGCGGCUCUCUGGUCUGUAACUGACGCUGAGGCUCGAAAGCGUGGGGAGCAAACAGG
rnacentral:rRNA from 1 species